UACGUAGGGUGCGAGCGUUGAUCGGAAUUACUGGGCGUAAAGAGUGCGUAGGUGGUUGAUUAAGUUAUCUGUGAAAUCCCUGGGCUUAACCUGGGGCGGUCAGAUAAGACUGGUUGACUCGAGUAUGGGAGAGGGUAGUGGGAUUUCCGGUGUAGCGGUGAAAUGCGUAGAGAUCGGAAGGAACACCAGUGGCGAAGGCGGCUACCUGGCCUAAUACUGACACUGAGGCACGAAAGCGUGGGGAGCAAACAGG
rnacentral:rRNA from 1 species